GGAGGCGUGCCAGAGAGGCCGAUUGGACUUCACUGCUAAUGAAGGGUCUGUGUAACGCGGACCGGGGGUUCGAAUCCCCCCGCCUCCGCCA
rnacentral:tRNA from 1 species